GGUCAGCUGACACAUCCCUGCCAAUCUCCGGCAGACCCUCCCUCCCAGACCCUCCUACUUCCUGGACAGCAUCCAUUUUGAAGGCAGCUUCAACAUGGAUGCUGUCCAGGAGGUGGGAGGGUCUGGGAGGGAGGGUCUGCCGGAGAUUGGCAGGGAUGUGUCAGCUG